GGGCUCGUGGUCUAGCGGUUAUGAUACCACCCUUACACGGUGGGGGUCAAGAGUUCGAAUCUCUUCGGGCCCA
rnacentral:tRNA from 1 species